GUAACGCGUGGGUAACCUGCCUCAUACAGGGGGAUAACAGUUAGAAAUGACUGCUAAUACCGCAUAAGACCACAGGGUCGCAUGACCUGGUGGGAAAAACUCCGGUGGUAUGAGAUGGACCCGCGUCUGAUUAGGUAGUUGGUGGGGUAACGGACUACCAAGCCGACGAUCAGUAGCCGACCUGAGAGGGUGACCGGCCACAUUGGGACUGAGACACGGCCCAAACUCCUACGGGAGGCAGCAGUGGGGAAUAUUGCACAAUGGGGGAAACCCUGAUGCAGCGACGCCGCGUGAGCGAAGAAGUAUUUCGGUAUGUAAAGCUCUAUCAGCAGGGAAGAAAAUGACGGUACCUGACUAAGAAGCACCGGCUAAAUACGUGCCAGCAGCCGCGGUAAUACGUAUGGUGCAAGCGUUAUCCGGAUUUACUGGGUGUAAAGGGAGCGUAGACGGCUGUGUAAGUCUGAAGUGAAAGCCCGGGGCUCAACCCCGGGAGCUGCUUUGGAAACUAUGCAGCUAGAGUGUCGGAGAGGUAAGUGGAAUUCCCAGUGUAGCGGUGAUAUGCGUAGAUAUUGGGAG
rnacentral:rRNA from 1 species